AAGCUGGAUUCGCUAGUAAUCGCGCAUCAGCCAUGGCGCGGUGAAUACGUUCCCGGGCCUUGUACACACCGCCCGUCAAGCCAUGGGAGCCGGGGGCGCCUGAAGUCCGGGACCGCGAGGACCGGCCUAGGGCGAAACUGGUAACUGGGGCUAAGUCGUAACAAGGUAAC
rnacentral:rRNA from 1 species